CUGAGGUUGAAUAUAGGGUUAAAUCAGUAUAGAUUUGAUUAACAUUCAAAUAAAUCCAGAUAAUACAUUCACAAUUGGAAUCAUGGCAUUAUGGUACACUGAUAUGUGUGUACCAUUUUACUGGAGUUUUUUUUUUUUUUUUUUGCUGCAUAACUAGGGAUCGUAUACAUACAAAAUGAGACAAAACAAUUUCUAAUUAGUUUCUAAUUAUAAGGUAUGACACGUUUUAAGGUAUGGUGGCCAAUACUGAUUUUAUUUGCAAUUUUCUUUCAGAUAUGGGACCCUAUUAUUCGGAAAACUGCAGAUUUUAUGAAACUGUCUUUGACAGAAGAUUUGGUUUUCUCCAUCUGUGUUGCCACCAACCAUUAUGCUGAGAUGGUCAUAUCUAGGGGGAAGGGUUGCCAUAUACUUCCCAAGGAAGCUUGUAGCCUCUCACUGAAGAGGAACUGUACAAAUUUUUGUGCAUUAUCUUAUACACGCCUGCUGUGAAGUUCCAGUCGAUAGACAGAUAUUUGUCAACGCAUGCCCCUGUCGGAACAUUUCAUUAUCAAGAAUUAUGUCUUGAAAUAGGUUUCAAGAGGUUGAAUAUAAAACAUUUUUGUUAAAUAUGAUGCAAGUACAUUUAAAUCUAGUGAUUGAAAGUAAGUACUUGAACAUUCGUAUAUGUUGAACUUGGAGAGGAAAAAUGGUUAGUACUUUUUGAUAACAUUUGAUAAGGUGUUGUUGCUUAGGAACCAAAUCUAAUUGAAUAAAAAAAUAUAUUAUUUUAGAUUAACAAUAAUUGAAAGAUCUUUGUUUUAAUGUUGCAAUACUUAUUCUAUUUAAUAGAACAUAAUGUCAAAACGUCAUAUUAUUAGAAAAUGAUGGACAAGUAUAUAAAGUACGAAAUUUCCAUUUGAUGACCUUUGACCUUAAUUCUCUUCAUCAUAUUUUUUGUUAAAAACCUUUUAAAAUGAUUAAGAUCUAUUUAAAGAUUAUAUUUUUAAAAUAAUGUGACAUUUACUAAUCAUCAUGGAUUGUAAUUACGUUUAAAUUGUGUCGAAUGGAUGCAGAAAGGCAAAUUAUGGUCAAAAUUGUACUAUGAGUGUUGUUACUUAGCAACCAAAAAUAUUUGUUUAUCAAUAAAAUUGAUUAGUUUGA